GACAGAGGGUGCAAACGUUGUUCGGAAUUACUGGGCGUAAAGGGCGCGUAGGCGGCGUGACAAGUCACUUGUGAAAUCUCCGGGCUUAACUCGGAACGGUCAAGUGAUACUGUCGUGCUAGAGUACAGAAGGGGCAACUGGAAUUCUCGGUGUAGCGGUGAAAUGCGUAGAUAUCGAGAGGAACACCUGCGGCGAAGGCGGGUUGCUGGGCUGAUACUGACGCUGAGGCGCGAAAGCUAGGGGAGCGAACGGG
rnacentral:rRNA from 1 species